rnacentral:rRNA from 3 species
GAAUGCUGACAUAAGUAACGAUAAAGCGGGUGAAAAGCCCGCUCGCCGGAAGACCAAGGGUUCCUGUCCAACGUUAAUCGGGGCAGGGUGAGUCGACCCCUAAGGCGAGGCCGAAAGGCGUAGUCGAUGGGAAACGGGUUAAUAUUCCCGUACUUGGUGUUACUGCGAAGGGGGGACGGAGAAGGCUAUGUUGGCCGGGCGACGGUUGUCCCGGUUUAAGCGUGUAGGUGUGUGUUCCAGGUAAAUCCGGUUCACUUUAACACUGAGGCGUGACGACGAGGCACUACGGUGCUGA